rnacentral:rRNA from 1 species
AACGCAGCGAAGGGCGAUAAGUAAUGUGAAUUGCAGAAUUCAGUGAAUCAUCGAAUCUUUGAACGCACAUUGCGCCCGCUGGUAUUCCGGCGGGCAUGCCUGUUCGAGCGUCAUUAUGACCAAUCAAGCUCUGCUUGGCCUUGGGGCCCGCUGUACCGGCGGCCCUUAAAAUCAGUGGCGGUCUCGCCGCAGCCUCUCCUGCGCAGUAGUUUGCACACUCGCAUCGGGAGCGCGGCGCGUCCACGUCCGUAAAACACCCAACUUCUGAAAUGUUGACCUCGGAUCAGGUAGGAAUACCCGCUGAACUUAA